GACGAACGCUGGCGGCGUGCUUAACACAUGCCAGUCGAACGGAAAGGCCCUGCUUUUGUGGGGUGCUCGAGUGGCGAACGGGUGAGUAACCCGUGAGUAACCUGCCCUUGACUUUGGGAUAACUUCAGGAAACUGGGGCUAAUACCGGAUAGGAGCUCCUGCUGCAUGGUGGGGGUUGGAAAGUUUCGGCGGUUGGGGAUGGACUCGCGGCUUAUCAGCUUGUUGGUGGGGUAGUGGCUUACCAAGGCUUGGACGGGUAGCCGGCCUGAGAGGGUGACCGGCAACAUUGGGACUGAGAUACGGCCCAGACUCCUACGGGAGGCAGCAGUGGGGAAUAUUGCACAAUGGGCGGAAGCCUGAUGCAGCAACGCCGCGUGCGGGAUGACGGCCUUCGGGUUGUAAACCGCUUUCGCCUGUGACGAAGCGUGAGUGACGGUAAUGGGUAAAGAAGCACCGGCUAACUACGUG
rnacentral:rRNA from 1 species